GGGUUGGCGUAGGUGGCGUUUUUAAGUUCAGGGUGAAAGACGGUAGCUUAACUAUCGCAGUGCCUUUGAUACUGAAGAGCUUGAAUGAACUAGAGGUAGGCGGAAUGUGACAAGUAGCGGUGAAAUGCAUAGAUAUGUCACAGAACACCAAUUGCGAAGGCAGCUUACUAUGGUUUGAUUGACACUGAGGCACGAAAGCGUGGGGAUCAAACAGGAUUAGAUACCCGAGU
rnacentral:rRNA from 1 species